CAGACUAAUGGGUGAGGAGAACGAGGAAGUUAUUAUCUAUUGUUACAGAUAAAAAAACAAUUUAAGAUUAUUUUUAGCUUCUAAUUAUUUUAAAAAGCUGAAAGAAACAUAAAGGAAAGUAAAAAUAAAUCUGUCAAAAAAAUUGUAACAAACGAAGACUCCAUAGCCAACUGCUUCAGCUACGUUUGCAAUUUGGCGAUGACAUCAUCCGUUCUGAAACGCCUCGUCUAUUCCAAUUCCAUUUGGCAACGCUUCUUAAGGUCACCAAUCAACAUCCCUCUUUCUCUCUCUGUUACUGAAUCGAAUUUAAACUUCACAGGGAGGGUUCAAGUUUCUCGACUUUGAUGCACACGCUUGCUUCUCCAGAAACUCACAGGUGGUUGUUUCCCCUUAAUGAAAUGACUUCAGUAUUUCAAGGUGAUAUGCAAGGGGAGCAAAAGGUUUUAGUUACCUCCAGCUGCGAUCACUCCAUUGUCUGUGGUGGAAGGGUCUUGUUAGGGAAUGACUGGCUUAGGAGGACCAACACCUCCAGAGAAUAAGGAGAAUUAGAGAAGAACAGAGUCAGAGGAAUUUCCAGCUUUUUCAUAUCUCUGCUUUUGUUAUUUACAGGAAGCAUCAAGCAAGAAGAUUUGAAGAUGAGCUGGCAAUUCCAUUUCCUUUGUCGCUAUCCUCAGACGAAGUCAUUCAAGGACGGAAGGAACAGGGAAUGGUCGGGUUGUGGUUGAGGGGAAGAAAAUGGGGAAGGACGGUGGAGGAGUUCAUCGAGUUUCAGAUUCAUGGUUUGCAUGGUGUCAGUGAGGCGGGUAAGGAUGGCCUCAAGGUUACCCGAGGUGGUAUCAUGCGGAGAGGGACCAGACAUGGAGGCACGAAACGAGAGCACCAAUGUUAGGGAAUGACUGGCUUAGGAGGACCAGCACCUCUAGAGAAUAAGGAGAAUUAGAGAAGAACAGAGUCAGAGGAAUUUCCAGCUUUUUCAUAUCUUUGCUUUUGUUAUUUACAGGUAGGCAGCAUCAAGCAGGAAGAUUUGUGGAAGAUUUGAAGAUGAGCUGGCAAUUCCAUUUCCUUUGUCGCUAUCCUCAGACGAAGUCAUUCAAAUAAGUGGGCUUCUUGAUCCUCUGUUUGGGCUUUGCUUCUUUUGGCACCACCUCAUCUGCGAAUUCCUUCUUUGCUGUUGCUAUGUCGUUACUGCCCUCUUGUGCUUGAGCUUCUGUGUUCGUAUCAGGUGUUCUUAUUAGGAAAUGUGGAAAGGAGAAAGGAGAGUGAAAACUGAAAGUGAUGGAAAUAUUAUAAUUUCCCCAUUUUAAUGCUUGAUAGAGAGGUUGGAUAAUGAUAUGUGUGCGAAGUAUGUUUAUCCCUCUUUUAUUUUGCGAUCAAAAGUAAAAUAAAUAGACAAAUACUUGAAGUUGUUUUAUGCUACGAUUCAAUUUUCUAUUCCUUGUGCUGUAUUCUAGUAUGUUCAGGAUUCUAGCAAAAAAAAAAAAGGUACAUCAAUUUGUUCACUUGUGCUUGCUCCUUGGAAACAGUAUUUUCUUUUGACAAAUUUCGCUUGGAUGCACUUUAGCAAGAUGAACCUUGACGCUAUCAAGGCAAGUUGUUCUUUAUUUUGUUCCUAUUUUUAUGCUGACUUUGUUUUCAUCUUUUCUUUUAUGUAUUGGCAAGUGGAGGAAAAGAUGGUACCGUUUGACUAUGGUCCCUUGGCUCAAGUGGCAAAUGAGGACAUCGUGCUUUGAAGGCUACACUCUGUGGGCAUGAAAAACCUGUAAAUUUGAUCUCAGUUGCCGGGGUUAGAGGUCACAAUGGCCCUGUGGUGUUCCUAUCGAAUAAAUUAUUGGAAGAGGAUAACAGAGCAAAGCAUUGGCAAGUGGAGGAGAAGAUGGUACUGUUCGUUGUUCGACUAUGGUCCCUUAGCUCAAGUGGCAGACAUGAUCAGCGUGCUUUGAAGGCUACACUCUAUGGGCAUGAAAACCUGUAAAAUUUGUUGUCAGUUGCCGGGUGUGUAGUGUUAUGGCUUAUGAGGUUUUGUUAAGUAGAGAACAACUAGCACAGCAAAACUUAUGAGGUUAUGGACUUAAUGCUAAAGCCAUAAGAGGGUAAUGUAGCAGAAAAAUUGGCAGUGCACAUAGUAGACGUUGCAGACACAAAAGUUUAAAGAAAAGCAAGAUGUGUCAUACAAAAUUUUCCUCAUUAUGUCAUUAUUGGUAACUACUGAUGUCAUGCAGAUUAUAUACCGGUUUUUACUUUUUUGCGUAAUAUUAUAGUUCAUGUUCUAUGUUUUAGGAUAAUUUGAUCCCAAAAGGGCAUCAUGUGCUUAUCUUUUGUUAGACUCGCAAAAUGCUUAAUCUUAUUCAGGUUGGUU